rnacentral:rRNA from 1 species
AGUUUGAUCCUGGCUCAGGACGAACGCUGGCGGCGUGCCUAACACAUGCAAGUCGAGCGGGGAUAGAUAGGAUGAGAGCUACGGCAGGAUUCGGAUUUAUUCUAGCGGCGGACGGGUGAGUAACGCGUGAACGAUCUGUCCCAGACAGGGGGAUAACACUUGGAAACAGGUGCUAAUACCGCAUAAGACCACGGAUCUGCAUGGAUCUGAGGUAAAAGGAGCGAUCCGGUUUGGGGUGAGUUCGCGUCUGAUUAGCUAGUUGGUGAGGUAACGGCCCACCAAGGCGACGAUCAGUAGCCGACCUGAGAGGGUGAUCGGCCACAUUGGAACUGAGACACGGUCCAAACUCCUACGGGAGGCAGCAGUGGGGAAUAUUGGGCAAUGGGCGAAAGCCUGACCCAGCAACGCCGCGUGAAGGAAGAAGGUUUUCGGAUCGUAAACUUCUGUCCUUGGUGAAGAGAGAAAGACGGUAGCCAAGGAGGAAGCCCCGGCUAACUACGUGCC